rnacentral:sRNA from 1 species
GCGGAGGAAAAGAAACCAACAGGGAUUGCCCCAGUAACGGCGAGUGAAGCGGCAACAGCUCAAAUUUGAAAUCUGGUCCCCUCGCGGGGCCCGAGUUGUAAUUUGAAGAGGAUGCUUCUGGCAAGGUGCCUUCCGAGUUCCCUGGAACGGGACGCCGCAGAGGGUGAGAGCCCCGUACGGUAGGACGCCGAGCCUCUGUGAAGCUCCUUCGACGAGUCGAGUAGUUUGGGAAUGCUGCUCAAAAUGGGAGGUAAACCCCUUCUAAAGCUAAAUACCGGCCAGAGACCGAUAGCGCACAAGUAGAGUGAUCGAAAGAUGAAAAGCACUUUGAAAAGAGAGUUAAAAAGCACGUGAAAUUGUUGAAAGGGAAGCGCUUGCGACCAGACUCGCGCCCGUCGGAUCAGCCGUCGCUUGUCGGCGGCGCACUCCGGCGGGCUCGGGCCAGCAUCAGUUCGCCUCGGGGGGAGAAAGGCGGCAGGAAUGUGGCUCUUCGGAGUGUUAUAGCCUGCCGCGUAAUACCCCCGGGCGGACU